rnacentral:rRNA from 1 species
UACGGGAGGCAGCAGUGGGGAAUAUUGCACAAUGGGCGCAAGCCUGAUGCAGCCAUGCCGCGUGUAUGAAGAAGGCCUUCGGGUUGUAAAGUACUUUCAGCGGGGAGGAAGGCGGUGAAGUUAAUAGCUUCACCGAUUGACGUUACCCGCAGAAGAAGCACCGGCUAACUCCGUGCCAGCAGCCGCGGUAAUACGGAGGGUGCAAGCGUUAAUCGGAAUUACUGGGCGUAAAGCGCACGCAGGCGGUCUGUCAAGUCGGAUGUGAAAUCCCCGGGCUUAACCUGGGAACUGCAUUCGAAACUGGCAGGCUAGAGUCUUGUAGAGGGGGUGAAUUCCAGGUGUAGCGGUGAAAUGCGUAGAGAUCUGGAGGAAUACCGGUGGCGAAGGCGGCCCCUGGGACAAGACUGACGCUCAGGGUGCGAAAGCGUGGGGAGCAAACAGGAUUUAGGAUACC